UGCGUAGGCGGCCUGGUAAGUCUGGCGUGAAAGCCCAGGGCUCAGCCCUGGAAGUGCGCUAGAAACUGCAAGGCUAGAGUGCCGGAGGGGAGAGUGGAAUUCCUGGUGUAGCGGUGAAAUGCGUAGAUAUCAGGAGGAAUACCGGUGGCGAAAGCGACUCUCUGGACGGCAACUGACGCUGAGGCACGAAAGCGUGGGGAGCAAACA
rnacentral:rRNA from 1 species